rnacentral:rRNA from 1 species
GACGAACGCUGGCGGCGUGCCUAAUACAUGCAAGUCGAGCGAAGUUUUUCUGGUGCUUGCACUAGAAAAACUUAGCGGCGAACGGGUGAGUAACACGUAAAGAACCUGCCUCAUAGACUGGGACAACUAUUGGAAACGAUAGCUAAUACCGGAUAACAGCAUUAACUGCAUGGUUGAUGUUUAAAAGUUGGUUUUGCUAACACUAUGAGAUGGCUUUGCGGUGCAUUAGCUAGUUGGUGGGGUAAAGGCCUACCAAGGCGACGAUGCAUAGCCGACCUGAGAGGGUGAUCGGCCACACUGGGACUGAGACACGGCCCAGACUCCUACGGGAGGCAGCAGUAGGGAAUCUUCCGCAAUGGGCGAAAGCCUGACGGAGCAACGCCGCGUGAGUGAAGAAGGAUUUCGGUUCGUAAAGCUCUGUUGUUAGGGAAGAAUGGAUAUGUAGUAACUAUACAUAUAAGAGACG